rnacentral:lncRNA from 1 species
ACCAGAUCCAGUAGUCGGGGAUGCGAUCGCGGUUGAUGAAGAAGCCGGAGAAGAGGAGGAAGUAGGCGAGGAUGGCGACGACCACCGUGUACCCCAGCAUGACGUGCGGCACCACGGCGGAGAGGAAGGUGACGAAGCCGCUGCCCGCCCAGAAGGAGGCCAGGAUGAUGAGGACGAAGAAGAGGAACGACGAGGCGCCGCCGGCGAGCCCCACCGCCCAGAAGGUGGUGACGGCGAAGGCGAGGGAGAGGAGCACGAGCGGCGGGAAGGCGACGGCGGCGUUGGCGAGCACGUAGGAGAUGCGGCGGUAGGCGUUGUGCGCGGUCUCGCGCAGGUAGAUGUGGCGCUCCUGCACGAACACCGGCAGCGCGUCGGCGCACACGUAGAACAUAGUCGA